UACGGGGGGGGCAAGCGUUGUUCGGAAUCACUGGGCGUAAAGCGCACGUAGGCGGACUUUUAAGUCGGAGGUGAAAUCCUGGAGCUCAACUCCAGAACUGCCUUCGAUACUGAGAGUCUUCGAGUUCGGGAGAGGUGAGUGGAACUGCGAGUGUAGAGGUGAAAUUCGUAGAUAUUCGCAAGAACACCAGUGGCGAAGGCGGCUCACUGGCCCGAUACUGACGCUGAGGUGCGAAAGCGUGGGGAGCAAACAGG
rnacentral:rRNA from 1 species